UACGUAGGGGGCGAGCGUUGUCCGAAGUUACUGGGCGUAAAGAGCGCGUAGGCGGGUUCUUAAGUGAGGGGUGAAAGGUUCAGGGCUCAACCCGGACACUGCCUUUCAUACUGGGAACCUUGAGUGCGGGAGAGGCGAGUGGAAUGGCUGGUGUAGCGGUGAAAUGCGUAGAUAUCAGUCGGAACACCCAUGGCGAAGGCAGCUCGCUGGCCUGCAACUGACGCUGAGGCGCGAAAGCGUGGGGAGCAAACAGG
rnacentral:rRNA from 1 species